CCAUAAGUUUAAUAUGUAAAGUAUUCCCAAACGAAUAACAGCGCUGAUGCAUGAACAUUAGCCCCCGUUUUUAUAUCAUACUUAAUUCAACUCGCCAAAAUAGGAGAGAUCGGAUCAAUACAUUCGUUCAUACCGGACUUGUAUGUAGACACUGAUUUAUAGCACGGUACGUCUCACUAUCUAAUAAUGUUCGAUUCUCUCGAUUUUUAAUGUUCGUGAUUAGCGUCGUUUAGGGUGGUGAGCUUCCAUACAUAAAACUAUCAGAAUUGAAGUGGGUGUUGAAUGAAUGGCAUCUCAAUGGAAGAACGGAUAAAGGGUUGCUGCCGAGAACAUUAUUUCAAACAAGACCUAGACUUAACCUGUUUAAUGAAAACUAUCUAAUCAACUUUUACUCAUGAAACUUUUAAACGCGUCUUUUGGUGCAUACAAAACGACAAUCGAAUAGGAAAUUUGGAUUGUGUUUGAAUCGCAUUUCUCAAAGCGAAGUGGUUGAUUUUAUUUAUUGAUAUAAUAAUUUUUUCUUUUGAAGAUAUAGGAUUGCAGGUGGAAAAGAACAAGAAUGUGGAAUCGCGUCAUCUUAGCCUAUGUGUUUUUAUUGCUUCUUCCGUUUUCAUCAUUACAACUGUACGACAGAGGUAAGAUUUGUCUCCCGGAAGAUAUAAAGACGUAGAGGCCUUGGACAAAUUAAGAACUAUAAAAAGACGGGUUUCAUUUAAGAAUAACCAGAGGGAACCAUUAACAUGUCGAGGCUGGCAUUCUCCGUGUAUACCUUGGACUUC